rnacentral:rRNA from 1 species
AUGAAACUAUCAAAAUCACAUGAUUAAGAAAGUUAAAACUCCGGUGGUAAAAGAUGGACUCGCGUCCCCAUUAGCUAGUUGGUGAAGGUAACGGCCCACCAAGGCAACGAUGGGUAGCCGGCCUGAGAGGGUGAACGGCCACAUUGGAACUGAGAAACGGUCCAAACUCCUACGGGAGGCAGCAGUGGGGAAUAUUGCACAAUGGGGGGAAACCCUGAUGCAGCGACGCCGCGUGAGCGAAGAAGGCCUUCGGGUCGUAAAGCUCUUUUAUAUGGGAAGAUAAUGACGGUACCAUAAGAAAAAAGCCCCGGCUAACUACGUGCCAGCAGCCGCGGUAAU